AAUGAACGCUGGCGGCAGGCUUAACACAUGCAAGUCGAGCGGAAGAAGGGAGCUUGCUCCUGGAUUCAGUGGCGGACGGGUGAGUAAUGCCUAGGAAACUGCCCGUGCGCGGGGGAUAACGCCCGGAAACGGGCGCUUAUACCGCGUACGUCGCGAGGGAGAGAGUGGGGGAUCUUCGGAUCUCUCGCUAUCAGAUGAGCCUAGGUCGGAUUAGCUAGUUGGUGGGGUAAUGGCCUACCAAGGCGACGACCCGUAACUGGUCUGAGAGGAUGUUCAGUCACACUGGAGCUGAGACACGGUCCAGAGUCCUACGGGAGGCAGCAGUGCGUAAUGUUGGACAAUGGGCGAAAGCCUGAUCCAGCCGUGCCGCGUGUGUGCAGAAGGUCUUCGGAUUGGAAAGCACUUUUCGUGGGGAGGAAGGGCUGUAAGUUAAUCCCUUGCUGUUGUGACGUUACCUACAGAAUAAGCACCGGCUAACUUCGUG
rnacentral:rRNA from 1 species